UACGUAGGGGGCAAGCGUUGUCCGGAUUCAUUGGGCGUAAAGAGCUCGUAGGCGGUUCAGUAAGUCGGGUGUGAAAGCUCCGAGCUCAACUCGGAGAGGCCACCCGAUACUGCUGUGGCUUGAGUCCAGUAGAGGAGCGUGGAAUUCCUGGUGUAGCGGUGAAAUGCGCAGAUAUCAGGAGGAACACCAGCAGCGAAGGCGGCGCUCUGGGCUGGAACUGACGCUGAGGAGCGAAAGCGUGGGUAGCAAACAGG
rnacentral:rRNA from 1 species